CUUUAUUGUAAAAAUCUUUACAAAUUUUUAUUGCAUCUUAUUGCAACACCUGUAUUAAACAAACUGAUGCAGCAACUUCAUGUGAUGCUGAUGUAAUAUAAUAUUAUACAUGCUAUAUAGCAUUUAAUGAUUACAAUGAGCUCAUUAAGAGACAAUAGAUGAAUUGUUUUGAAUCUAUUCUUGUAUAUUAUUGUACUUGCUUUGUCGUCAGAAGCUAACAGCAGCCUUUUCAUACCUGCUGCAGGUGAAUGACCUCUAAUACUGUUUAUUUUACUUUAUUACAUAUAGAAACACGAAGAACUAGACACAUGAAAAAGCUUUUACAGGAGCGGCGUGUUUACACUGGGAUUUACAGGCUCUACAGGUAAACUGGGUCUUUUGUUGAUCUUAAUGUUGACACUCUUAACGGAUGGGACAGUGAGGACAGGUAUAGAUCAGCUGAUCUUCAGUAUAAAAGAUGAGCAGGGCUGGAGAUCAGUGAGAACUCUGUAGAAGAACUGGGUUGUUUAUUAAAGCUCAGUUAAAACUCUAUUAUUCCACUGUUUUAUAUUUUUUAACUGGAUCGUAUUUAAUUUAAAGUUUAUUUAUUGUUAAUUCUUUAGUGUUUUGGUUUAAACCAAAUUUAUUGUAAUUUAUUUUAUUUUAAAAAGCUGCCUAUUUUAGUGUGUUUUUUUAUUUCUACAGAAGAUCAGGACGAUGUCCACGCAAAGGAUUAUCAAAUAUUUCAAUAUUUUAUAUUCCUUAAUUGUGCUGAUGGGAUCGUCUGCAGCUUGUGAAUCUCGGCGUUGUCUGGCUGAAGAGUUUAUUAAGAGGAAACUGUACAGUUCUCCUCAGCCUCCGGAGUGUGUGGUUAACGUGAAUCUCACAUCCAUCCAGUAUCAGACUCUCUCUGUCGACACUAAAGUUAUGCAGUUAUCAAGCCGGAUUAAGAUUGACAUGGAGUGGAACGACCCAGAUCUUGCCUGGUCAGACUCACAGUACACGUUUGAUGAAAUCAUGCUGCCAUUUAAUAAGAUCUGGACUCCUGACCUCAGCGUGGACAAUGCGUAAGUCAUUUCUGCUCGAUAUUUUGUGAAUUAUGUUGGCUUUAGUUUA
rnacentral:lncRNA from 1 species